rnacentral:rRNA from 1 species
GAUGAACGCUAGCGAUAGGCUUAACACAUGCGAGUCGAGGGGCAGCAUGGUCUUAGCUUGCUAAGACUGAUGGCGACCGGCGCACGGGUGCGUAACGCGUAUGCAACUUGCCUCACAGAGGGGGAUAACCCGUCGAAAGACGGGCUAAUACCGCGUACACUCCAUCUUGGGCAUCCAAGGUAGAGGAAAUGAAAUUCGCUGUGAGAUAGGCAUGCGUCCCAUUAGCUAGUUGGUGAGGUAACGGCUCACCAAGGCGACGAUGGGUAGGGGAACUGAGAGGUUGAACCCCCACACUGGUACUGAGACACGGACCAGACUCCUACGGGAGGCAGCAGUGAGGAAUAUUGGUCAAUGGGCGAGAGCCUGAACCAGCCAAGUCGCGUGAAGGAUGACUGUCUUAUGGAUUGUAAACUUCUUUUAUACGGGAAUAACAAGAGUCACGUGUGACUCCCUGCAUGUACCGUAUGAAUAAGCAUCGACUAACUCCGUG